rnacentral:rRNA from 1 species
AACUUUUAACAACGGAUCUCUUGGUUCUCGCAUCGAUGAAGAACGUAGCAAAGUGCGAUAACUAGUGUGAAUUGCAUAUUCAGUGAAUCAUCGAGUCUUUGAACGCAUCUUGCGCUCAUUGGUAUUCCAAUGAGCACGCCUGUUUCAGCA